CAGACGGGUGAGUAAUGUAUAGGAAUCUACCUAGUAGUACGGAAUAAUUGUUGGAAACGACAACUAAUACCGUAUACGCCCUACGGGGGAAAAAUUUAUUGCUAUUAGAUGAGCCUAUAUUAGAUUAGCUAGUUGGUGGGGUAAUAGCCUACCAAGGUAAUGAUCUAUAGCUGAUCUGAGAGGAUGAUCAGCCACACUGGAACUGAGAUACGGUCCAGACUCCUACGGGAGGCAGCAGUGGGGAAUAUUGGACAAUGGGCGAAAGCCUGAUCCAGCCAUGCCGCAUGAGUGAAGAAGGCCUUUGGGUUGUAAAGCUCUUUUAGUGAGGAAGAUAAUGACGGUACUCACAGAAGAAGUCCUGGCUAACUCCGUGCCAGCAGCCGCGGUAAUACGGAGAGGGCUAGCGUUAUUCGGAAUUAUUGGGCGUAAAGGGCGCGUAGGCUGGUUAAUAAGUUAAAAGUGAAAUCCCGAGGCUUAACCUUGGAAUUGCUUUUAAAACUAUUAAUCUAGAGAUUGAAAGAGGAUAGGGGAAUUCCUGAUGUAGAGGUAAAAUUCGUAAAUAUUAGGAGGAACACCAGUGGCGAAGGCGUCUAUCUGGUUCAAAUCUGACGCUGAAGCGCGAAGGCGUGGGGAGCAAACAGGAUUAGAUACCCUGGUAGUCCACGCUGUAAACGAUGAAUGUUAAAUAUGGGGAGUUUACUUUCUGUAUUACAGCUAACGCGUUAAACAUUCCGCCUGGGGACUACGGUCGCAAGAUUAAAACUCAAAGGAAUUGACGGGGACCCGCACAAGCGGUGGAGCAUGUGGUUUAAUUCGAUGCAACGCGAAAAACCUUAGUCAUUCUU
rnacentral:rRNA from 1 species